GACGAACGCUGGCGGCGUGCUUAACACAUGCAAGUCGAACGGAAAGGCCUGCUUUCCCUUGUGGAUUGCGGGUACUCGAGUGGCUAACGGGUGAGUAACACGUGAGUGAUCUGCCCCCAACUUGGGUAUAAGCCUGGGAAACUGGGUCUAAUUCCCGAUAGGACUGCAGGGUGGUGCCUGUGGUGGAAAACGAUUUUCUAGUGGUUGGGGAUGAGCUCGCGGCCUAUCAGCUUGUUGGUGGGGUAAUGGCCUACCAAGGCGGCGACGGGUAGCCGGCCUGAGAGGGUGGACGGCCACAUUGGGACUGGGAUACGGCCCAGACGCCUACGAGAGGCAGCGGUGGGGAAUAUUGCACAGUGGGCGGGAGCCUGAUGCAGCGACGCCGCGUGGGGGAUGACGGGCUUCGGGUUGUAAACUCCUUUCGACCGCGAGGAAGCCACCUGGUUGGAAGGGUGGUGACGGUAGUGGUAGAAGAAGCACCGGCUAACUACGUG
rnacentral:rRNA from 1 species